UACGUAGGGCGCAAGCGUUGUCCGGAAUUAUUGGGCGUAAAGAGCUCGUAGGCGGUUUGUCGCGUCUGUCGUGAAAGCUUGGGGCUUAACCCCAAGUCUGCGGUGGAUACGGGCAGACUAGAGGCAGGUAGGGGAGAACGGAAUUCCCGGUGUAGCGGUGAAAUGCGCAGAUAUCGGGAGGAACACCGGUGGCGAAGGCGGUUCUCUGGGCCUGUACUGACGCUGAGGUGCGAAAGCGUGGGGAGCGAACAGG
rnacentral:rRNA from 1 species